GACGAACGCUGGCGGCGUGCUUAACACAUGCAAGUCGAGCGGUAAGGCCCUUUCGGGGGUACACGAGCGGCGAACGGGUGAGUAACACGUGGGUGACCUGCCCUCAGCUCUGGGAUAAGCCUGGGAAACUGGGUCUAAUACUGGAUAUGACUCCACGGUGCAUGUCGUGGGGUGGAAAGCCUUGUGCGGCUGAGGAUGGGCCCGCGGCCUAUCAGCUUGUUGGUGGGGUGAGGCCUACCAAGGCGACGACGGGUAGCCGGCCUGAGAGGGCGACCGGCCACACUGGGACUGAGACACGGCCCAGACUCCUACGGGAGGCAGCAGUGGGGAAUAUUGGACAAUGGGCGAAAGCCUGAUCCAGCAAUGCCGCGUGUGUGAAGAAGGCCUG
rnacentral:rRNA from 1 species